AAUAAGUGCAGUUUUGCACUAUUCACUUUCAACGUUUGACCAUUCAUUUUAUUUGAAAAUUUUUUAUGAUUACUAUUUUUAUUGUUAUUAGAUGAUAAAACAUGAAUAGUACUUUAUGUGUGACUAAUUUUUUUAAAAAAAUUUUAAAUAAGACGGACAGUCAAACGUUGAACUCGGAUUUUCACGGCUGCACUUAUU
rfam:Oryza glumipatula chromosome 10, whole genome shotgun sequence.